UUUAUUUCAGGGUCAGUACUGUUGAGUUACACUGCUUUAACAUUGACGUUAAAGCCAGCAUUUUUCGACAAAAACCUGCCAUUGCGGGAAAGCCUUAUUUUGCUUCAAUUCCGUAUAAAGAGGACAUGGUGUGUCCGAUUGGCUCUUAUUGUGUAUUUCUUGU